AGAAAGCUCCUUUCAUUGGUGUGUUCAGAGAGCCCUUGAUUAUGAAGACUCAGUACCCUGCUUGGAAAACAAUCUGAAUGAAUGUGUUUCAGUGUGGGAGAUGGGGAAGUCACGCAGGGACAGUCUGGGAAGGCAGGAGGGAGGCUGGUAUUUACCUUCCUGCCCUCUGGAAGGGUGGUGGCCUUGCAGAUCCCAGUCCCAGCCUUUCUUUCGCUCAGUUUCCCUGGGUGGAAACUGGGCUUGUGAAAAUGAUGGUGGUAAGGUCUCCGCGCGUCCCUGGUAACACCUAACCAGGAGCCUCUCUCUGCUGGAGGCUUCAUGAGAGCAACUUCUCCCUUCAUCCUGCCAGCUGAGGUGAUGACAGCAAACCACCACCGCCACAAGCCUCAUGCCAUCCCAGCCUGGAAUUCUCUCCCCGGCGCAGACGGUGCCCCUGCAGAGAUGAGGCCAUGAGGCCCUCGGCAGAGCCAAGGAGCCUGAUCACAUAUUUAUUACUGGCACCAACAGCAGGGAGCUACCACACCGAUUACUUGUUCUUUUGUUUGACUACUAUCUAUUGAGUAUCAGCUGUAUGCCAGGCAGUGUCCUAGACUCCAUGGACAAAGCAGGGAACAAGGCAUCCAGGUCCUGGUUUCUGAGCCUCUUGCAUUCUGUGUGGGAGAGAGAUGAUAGGAGCAGAAAUAAAAAAGAUCUACUUCCCCAUCCCAUUGUUUGUUCUUCCACUUUGCUAUACAAAGACAAACUUCUGACCAGGCUGGCUCUUGACUCAGAUGUGUUGCUGCCAAGGGAGAGCCUGAAAGACCGAAGCGAAGGCAGAAUGACAAGAAACCGUGGAGUCUGCAGCAACCACUUCAAACAGGAGACAGGCUCAUGGCCGAGGCUCCCUUCCUUAUCCAUGUAUCCAUGUUAGAAUUAGAAUUCAGAUGCUGUUAGAAUUCUCAAGAAGGUGUAUAAUAAGUUAUCUUGGGCUGGACACUGUGGUUCAUGCCUGAAAUCCCAACACUUUGGGAGGCUGAGGCAAGAGGAUCACUUGAACCCAGGAGUUUGGGACCAGCCUGGGCAACAUAGUGAGACCCUGUCUCCACAAAAAAUGCAAAAGUAGUCAAGCAUGGUGGUGCACACCUGUAGUCCCAGCUACUCGGGAGGCUGAGGUGGGAGAAUUGCUUGAGCCUAAGAGAUAGAGGUUGCAGUGAGCUGAGACGAAGCCACUGCACUCAACCUGGGCGACAGAGGAGACCUUGCCUCAAAUAAUAAUAAAGUUAUUUUGAAUUGAAAAUAAAGUUAGACUCUUG
rnacentral:lncRNA from 1 species